UCUAGACAGAAUUUACUCACUUUUUCUUCUCAGCUUCUCACUGCACUCACAUCACAAUGUUUUACAGAUUCACAGAGCCACAGCCACAUAGCUACACAGCUAUGUUUCCUGUGUUACGUAUAAGGGCAUUGCAUCACGUGCAAUAUUAGUCCGUUAAUCACAACCACCAUCCAUAAGAGGAGGUGUGCCCACCCUCAUCAAGGGAAACAGAAUUUCUCCUGUUUGGAGACGGGGACCCCUUUAGAUUGGAUCCAUUUCUUCCUCUGCUGCCUCACUGUGUUUCUAUUUUUCUCUUUGAACUGCAGCAACCGAUGUGGAAAAAGUGAAGGAUUGCAUCUGUGCCUGUCUGAUAACAAAGCAACAUAAAGUCUGAUGAGGUAAAAGUUGUCCUUCAGCCAACACUCACUGCUCCCAGCGCCGUGCAAACUUCAGCCAGAGCGAGGCGGGAGGUUCCCAGGUUGGUGAGGACAGACAGACAGACAGACAGACUGCGUGACCCCGGGGCCUCCGCCUUAGGAAAGCAGCCUAAAGAUACCUUCCCUCCCAGAGCGGAACAGCGACGCCGAAACAUCUGACAGCAAACGUGACGAUGAUCACCGAUGUUUAAUGAAGAAUCCAGGCUACUUUUAAUCUUUUAGCCUCACAGAGCACCUUCCGCCCCCAGGAGCUAAAGCCAUUUAUAAAAGGUGCACGGUUAACCAGCUCUGCCUCUUGCCACGGAGGCCGCCGUCUUCAAGGGGACAGGGGAUGUGAUGGCACUGGGCGGGGUGUGAGCCCCGCUCUGCUCCGAGCAGCACUGCGGCUACCUGCGGCCAGAGAUGGGCUUCGGUUGCAGCUGAGGAUGAGGGUGAGACCUUCCUCUCCCAGCCAGGGCCUUUGGGCCGAAGUGCCCCCGCAGACCCCGUUCCAGGCACAGCUGUUCCGCGGCUCCAUCGUUGCAGCCGCUUCCCGAGCACGGACGUCGGGUUCCGCCGCGGAGGUGGAGGAAAAACAGCCCAAGGACCCCCUCUGCUGUCAGCAGCCACCAUCGCAGAGGCUCUGUCAAAUGGUUUGCUUCGAAGCUUUGAAUGGUUUAAGGAUUUUUUUUGUUCUCCCCAUGCCUUACGGUCUAAAAUCUAAAAUCCUCCUGGGGGCCAUUCCUUGUAAAGCACACCCAGCUGGGCUGAUUUUUCCUUAUAAACAAUAAAAAAGCCCAUGCUAGGGGAGACGAGAAACAACCACGAGCAGCUUUUGCUCCUUUCCAAUGAUACCUGAGGCCUCAGGCCCUAAGGAAGCCUGGUUUGGGUUUCACACGCUUGCUCUGCUGCUGCUCGUCUGCUUCUUUCAGUCCAUGGGCUCUUAUGCCAUGGCUGUGGCAGGGGGGACAUGCGCUGCUAGGAGGAGGGCUUAAAGGGGAGAGGAGUGAAAUGAGGGCCAAAAGCAAAGCUGUUUCAUCUUCUCUUCCCCGUUGGCCCUCGGUCUUUUCAGCAGUUUAAAUUAAUUUGAAUAAAACUCAACCGUGGUUCUUUCUGCUCUCCAUCCCCACUCUGGCUGCCCCAGGCUGACUUUGUUCUUCCCGUAAAGCUGCAACCGGGGCAUUUUGGCCAACGCCGUCAGUGUGCCAUCACCCUGUGAGCUGUGGGGCUCGGAUGUUGGGGUGCAGGAGAACUCAGGGAGCUGGGCUGGGGCUGCAGCAGCAGCAGGUCAGGCUGGCACCCAGCACAGCUCAGCUUAUUAUUUAGAAAUAAUGAAAUGCUUCAUUGCAUUAAUCAAACCGAAAAGAAGGUCAGCUUGGUUCAUUUUGGAUUCGUCCAAAGUGAAUACUGCUGGUGGUUUGGUUGUCAUGGCCAGAUGAAGAACCUUCCUCCAAAGCCCUUGUCUGAAGCCAGCCACAUGAGCUCCAUCGUACUCAGCUUUAACCCUGCUGUCUGAAAUCCUGCUAUGACUCUCUGCUGACUUAGAUUGGCAGCUUUAGUCCGAACCAACCCUUUUUAGUGGCUAAAUGAUUGGUGUCUCCGUGCCUCCAAGGCUCUGUUCGUCUGUUAGCCAGGGAAGCCUUGGUGUCAGGCAGCACCAGCACCCUGCUUUGGCAUCAUGCUCCUGCCCCAGAGAAGCAGAAAGCCAAAAGGGGCAUUUCUAGGCAUCUGUGGGAGCUCUUGUCCAAAAACACACUGGGAGAUCCUCUUCUCUUCAGUUAGGGACUGGCUGGGGGUAUCACUGCCUUCUGAAAGUCAGACGCACAGGAGAGGAUAGCACGUUCCUACCAGCCUCCUCCAGUUCCUUUCUGUUAGGAAUACCCCGUGCAUCCAGACACAAAGCCCAGCAGCCUAGAACUCCUGCUAAAGGGGUUCUAAAAUUCCUAUUGAUUGCAAUGGGAUCAGCUUUAAGCCGCUUAACCCUUUGCCUACUGGAGCAAAAGACUCUGUGCUGCUGCUCGUCACUGAUGUGCUGCAGGUGGACAGGCCACAGGACAGCAUAUUCUUGGCUGUACCAAUGUAGAGUACAUUGUGUUUUCUUCCUGCAAAAGGUUGUUAUAAAUGGCCUACUUUCAAAAGAGCUCAUUUAGAUCUGAGAACUCUUGCAACAUGUCCACUCCUAAUUAUCGCUUGGAGACUUUGCAAUAAUCAAAAGACAAAUGAAUGCAGAGGAAGGAAGCAAACAACGUGGGCAUUUCCAUGGUUUUCUCCUUGCUGCCUAUUAACUGUGCCCUGUGCCAUACCCAGAGCGUGGCUUUCUGACCUGAACCUGCCUUCCUUCCCAGGACCUUUCCUGGGCUCGAGCACCUCACUUUUCACCUCCAAAAAGUCAGAAUUGUGCUGCCAAGUUUCUGUGCUGUUGCCUCGCAGUGCGACCACUAAACACACCACCAGCUGAUGGCACUGCCCCAUUGCUGUUGGGAGAUGAGAAACGUGGAAAAUGAGUGUCACUGUACGCAAAACACUUCGGUGCCGCUGCUGCCGUGCUUUUGAUCUCCUUCCAAAGCCCACAGCAAGUCACACUGGGAGAUGCUUUUUACUGGGACCUGAUCAUCCUGACUGUCAUGGGGAGCUGGGAAGGGCUGUUCUCUUCCAGCUUGUGAAGUGGCUGAAAAACGGGGGGUGGAGGGGGGGCUGCUGAGCCUAAGCCCCUGUGACCCCACACUCAUGUUGCAGAGGGCUGACAGCUCCGGUAAUGUGGGCUGGCAGGUGACCACAGGACAUGCAGCACAGGUCACAGCUCUGCAAGCUGGUUUGGGUGAAGUCUCUGCAUCAGUGAGACUGCCAAGGCUGAAUCCCACCCUGCAUCCCACCCUGCUCUUCAGCCCAUGCCCAGCUGUAUCCAGCAGUGAUGCUGCCACUCUCUGCAUUUCUGCUUGGGCUUGGCAAACAGCUCUCAAGAGCUCUUCUUAACCAGCAAGGACAUUCUUUAAAGUUACUUGGAGGUUGGUCUGCUCUGUUUGGAAGAGAAAAGGUAAAGGAGGGGAUCUAACUCCCAUCAUCCACCACCUAAAGUGGAGGCUCGGUGAAGAGAUGGAACCACGCUCUUCUUUCAGGUACAUAUCAAGAGGCCAAUAGGCAACAGGCGGGAGAUACAGGAUGGAAAUUCUGGUUAGACAGAAAGAAAAGUAUUCACUUUGCAUGCGGUGAGGCAGUGGAAUAGGUGCUGGGGGAGGCUGAGGGGUUCAGAACUCAGCUCUACCAGCCCUCUGCAACUGCACCUGCUUGGCAGGUCAGCCUGCUCUGAGCAUGAGCUGCACAGGAGAUCUCCAGAGGUCCCUUCUGCCCAAAGCUCUUAGUGGUGAUCCAUGGCAUUCAGUACCACGAGCUGUUUCUGAAGUUAACCCGAGUGUUUACCGAUGCACUGUAUUACUGAGGUUGCUGCAAGGCCCAUCCUAGUGGGACAGGCUUGGGGUCAGCCCCAGCAAGUCCUAAAACCACCUGUUGAGCCCCCAUCCCAUUAUUAUCUCAGUCUCCACCUCCUCCACAAGGACAGAGCUCUAUGAGAAAUCACAGGAGUUUGAGGAGAGAGACUGUGGUUUGUCUCACAGGUGGGUUCCUCAGCCAAGGUGUCAUUUGACAUGAGUCUGGCUGUGCCAGAGGUCCAUCUCCUGCAGGCCAGAGACAGAGCAGGACAUCUCUGCAGCUUAGGAACUAUGCAGCUUCAUUUCUGUUG
ensembl:lncRNA